rnacentral:lncRNA from 1 species
CUCUCUCUUCGAAACAACAUCUGAUCUUUCGGUUAACAAUCUUCUUCGAAACCUGCUUGAUCUUUCGAAGUUGUUGAUCUUUCGAAGAUCCCAGGUGACCUUUCGAAAUCAGGUGAGAUGACCCUUCGAAAACUAGGAUCCUUCGAAAACAGUUGUUGGUUGUUGAAGACUAGGAUCCUUCGAAGACAUCAAGUUGACCUUUCUAACAGAUAGAUGAUCAUUCGAAGUCUUGUUUUGAUCCUUCGAGUUUGAAGGUAUCAAGAACAUCAAGAACACAGGACUGUGUAAAAUUUGCAGAUUUGAUGAAGCACUUUGUAUACAAUUUUUG